rnacentral:rRNA from 1 species
CAAUAGCGUAUAUUAAAGUUGUUGCAGUUAAAAAGCUCGUAGUUGGAUUUCUGGUAGUGGGUUAGAGCGCACAUGCGUGAUGCUCGCGUCCAUUGCCAUCCUUCUGUUAACCUUUCAGGGCAUUCAUUUGCCAGUUAGGGGCUCAGAUAUUUUACCUUGAGAAAAUUAGAGUGUUUCAGGCAGGCUUGUGCCCGGAUACAUUAGCAUGGAAUAAUAGAAUAGGACUUUAGCCUCUUCUGUUGGUCUGAGGGGGUUGAAGUAAUGAUUAAUAGGGAUAGUUGGGGGCAUUAGUACUUAACUGUCAGAGGUGAAAUUCCUCGGUAUUUAGUU